GCGGGCAUCGUAUAAUGGCUAUUACCUCAGCCUUCCAAGCUGAUGAUCCGGGUUCGAUUCCCGCUGCCCGCUCCA
rnacentral:tRNA from 1 species